GACGAACGCUGGCGGCGUGCUUAACACAUGCAAGUCGAACGGUGAAGCGCCUUCCUUUUUGGUGGGUGUGGAUGAGCGGCGAACGGGUGAGUAACACGUGAGUAACCUGCCCCCUUCUUCUGGAUAACCGCAUGAAAGUGUGGCUAAUACGGGAUAUUCUGGGUCUGUCGCAUGAUGGGUCUGGGAAAGUUAUUGUUUCGGUUGGGGAUGGGCUGCCGGCCUAUUAGCUUGUUGGUGGGGUGAUGGCUUACCAAGGCGGCGAUGAGUAGCCGCCCUGCGAGGGUGGUGGGCGGAACUGCAAGGAAGCAGAGGCGGACACGACUCCGACGGGAGGCAGCAGGGAGUAUUAUUGCACAGGGGGCGGAAGGCUGGUGCAGCGACGCGUGAGUGGUGAUGGACUCCUGCUGGUUAUGAUCUUCUUUCGGCAGAGAAGCAGGGCUGACUCGUUUGUGGAUGGGUUGACGGUAGCUGGAGAAGAAGCGCCGGCUAACUACGUG
rnacentral:rRNA from 1 species